CUUAAUCUCUAUUUAAUUAAUAUAUAAGUUGAGACAAUAUACAAAAAAAAAUGCAAUGUACAUACUUUAAUAGUACACGAUACAAUAGAAAUUGAGAUAAAUAUAUCAUGAAUAUACAAUAGAAAUUGUGUCUAUCCUAGUUGCACUCAGGCUUUAGCUAAUCUUCCACAAACUCUAGAGUUUCCUUGUAGUUGGAGAACUGGUACAAUAUCAAGCUCGUGUUGAGCUUUUCUGCUUGUAUAUGGCACAUUAUGUGCACUAAUUACUUGGUAUUGGAUAUAAAGUCCUGACCUAUUUAAUCUCAUGCUUCAUGUGUUACCUAAAAUUNNNNNNNNNNNNNNNNNNNNNNNNNNNNNNNNNNNNNNNNNNNNNNNNNNNNNNUUGCUCACCUAAAAUCACUCUUUAAGGUCGCAGUCCCGUUGUCGAGAUGAACUAAAUAAUAAAUUUCAAGCUUGAUAUUGAAAGCUACUCCCAUAUUUCCCUUCAGCGUGUAUACACUUUAACCAAUAGAUCUUGAAAGACAUCAACAACUGUUGAACCUCGCAAUACAACAUUGUGAAAUCAAAGAGUACACACAUUAAAUUAUGGAGACUUUAAGUAACUAAAAAAUCUAAUAUGCCUCUUUGGAAUAUUGGCAGGAUCUUCCUUUAUAACCUUCGCCUAUGAAAUAAUCAUCUAUUUUGUACCCCCCCAUUGCAUUGCAUUACACUGUCCACUAUACCAUAUUUAAAAAAAUAGAAUUUAAAAUAUUUGAUCGGAUACAUCAAAUAUGGAAGUCUCCACUUUGAAUUUGGUGCCUCUGGCAGCUUGAACUUGAAGGUGUGCCAUGUGUUACCUGCAAUGAUGUGUCCAUUUACAAACAUAGUUAGCCACAACUCUCAACCUCACCAUUGAAAGUUAAAAUGUUUAUUAAAGUUAAAAGUUAAAAUGUUUAAUCAAGAAACAUACAUACAUGCUUAUUAUAGUUGCAGCCACAUGAUUAUGUGGUUAAAAAUUAUGCAGGCUGGAUCUUGGAGUUAUAACAGAACUGAAAAGUGGUUCCAAGUGCUCUUUAAUUUGUAAAAACAUUUUCAAAGUUAAUUCAAGAAUAUUACUUUCAUCAAAGAGAAUGAAACAAUGGUAACACUUUCUCAGCCCUGUCAUAAACAAUCCAGUUUAGAAUACAAUCUAAAAGGCUCAUUGACAUUAUGUAAGUGCUCACAUCCAAAUCCAUCAAAUUUCAUUCAAGCACUUUCCACAUUUUCAUUUACUGUUGCCCAAUUUAUGAUCUUUUUUUUCAUAUCAGAAAACUGAUAAUUGAAUGCCCAAUAAUUUCAAGAAACUAAAAAUUAGGUAAAUAAUCUUUUUACUUGAUAAUAGAUUAGGGAAAUCUCCGAAUAAUGUAGAGAAGUUCAAAAAACCAUUCCAGGAUCAACAAAAAUGAACUUAGAAAAGAGGACUCGCCCAUUUAAGAACCACCAAAAUCAUUACCAAAUCCUCAUUUACAAAUUAAGACAUCGGCAACUGCAACAUACAGAGCAACAUAGCAUCAAUGAGAUUGGUAGCAGAAUCAAAUCAAACAAAUAAAGAACCAUAGAAAGCUUAAUAAUCACUAUAUAAGCACUUUGGCUUUUAUGUUCCAACACUAUUUACUUGAUUGCUUGCAAAGUGAAGUCUUUCUUUUAAGUGAGGCCUUAAAUAUUCAAAGUGAAAAAAUCAUUCAUAAAUUUAUAAGAAAGCGAAAGUUAUAGAAAUAUUCAUAAACUAAAAAAUAAUAUAAGAAUUAGUUUUUGCAUCAAUCAACAUUUCAUAUAAUAUAUAUGCAUAAAUUGUGAUCCAAUGAAUCACCAAUAAAAAUCACAAUGCAACUUCGUAAAAGUAAUCAACAGUUACAACAUAACUACAUGUCUUUUCUCAAUGCAUAUUUAUCUCAUGAAUGACCAUUAACUUAAACAGAAUAAAAAAUCACAACUUUGAUUUAUAGUUAAAUAGUUAAAUUCAUAUGAAUGAAAGAUCUAUAUAAUUGAUGUACGAUAAGAAACUAAUAGAAGUUGGAAUCAGCAUGUUUCUUUCAAUGUGGUCAUGUUAUAAGUAGGUAAUUACCUUGAUUAAAAACUAUACCAUAAACAGAUUAGUGGAAAGUACACACACUUCUUUGAUAUAACUUUUUUAAGCUUGUGUAUUAAAAUAAUGAACAAAGUGAAAGCAUUAGACACUUCCAUCUGCACAUGAAUUAGAAGCAUUUCAGAGGCAAAGGUUUCAAAAUAAAUAAGGAACCAUAAAUAUAUUAUAAGCAUAAGUCUAUAACCUUACUUUUGAGAAGCAUGCAAUUCCUCAAAAUUAGGACCUCGAGCAAAUUUCUACCAAUGCAGCUGCCAAGUUUCCUGAGAGAAGAAUUCAACUAACAAAUUUAGGACCAGUAUAAGAAAGAAACACACUACUAUAAGAACUCAGCAGACCACCUCUAAAAGAAGCUUCAUGUAAAUAACAAAUCAAAAUAAGAAAAACAUAUAGUAGUUAUCAAACUCUAAUUCUAAAACAAAAAAGUAAAGCCAAAGAAAUACAAAAUUAGGGAUUAGAAAUACAAAUGAAAUAAAAUAGAUGGCUAUUAAAAAUUAGGUAUUUUGAAAAAGAAAGAGUAUACCCAGAAUCAAACAAUAACAUUGUCGUCGUUGGGCCGUGUGCUCUGCUUCAUCGAUCUUUGUCGUCGUUGGGUUUGUGAACCUGAACAAACAAUAACAUUCCCAAAAAAAAAAUUAAAAAUCAGAAUAUGAAAUUAAAUCAUGAAAUAAGGAAGGGAUUGAGAAGCAAGUUAAAACCUUUCUUAUUGACAAAGCUGAAGAAGCAUAUACCCAAAAUUUGAGGAAAAAAGUUGACAACAUAGAAAACCAUAUCAAAAACACGACAAAGAUAAACGUUGUUUUUGAAAAAUUUUGGAGGGGUUUUUGAAAUUUGAAAGCAUGAUGCAUUAGUCAAAGUUUGCAGAGAACACUUAGUUUUUCACCAAAAUGGAAGUUUUUGUUGAAGAUGGAGAGAAAGAAGACAUCAACAAAGCAGAAAGGGAAGAGAAAGAUUCUUUCCUUUUUCUUUUUUUAAAUUUUUUUUCUUUCUUUUUUCUGUUAUAUUGAAUUUUAAAAUUUGCAAAAUACAUUCAAUCAAACUAACUUAUUACUUAUAAAAAAGUUUAUAGAUAUAGAUUGAAUCUGAAAUAAAAAUUUUGAAAUAAAAAAUCUUAUUAAAAGUAAUAGUAUAUCGGUUUGGUUUUCUCCUCAAUUAAAGUUUACAAAUACUAAAUAAAACAAAUUAAAAUUGAUAUAAAUCUAAAAAAAAAAAUCUGAAAUUUAACAAAAUCAAUCAUAUUAUUGCGGUGGAGAAAAAAAUCCCACUAAAAACUCCUAAAAAGUAGGGAUUAUUAGCUAAAAGAUAAAAACAAAUCCUAAUAAAUAUGACAACUAAACAACAAUAUUUUUUAAAAAAUAGAAAGAGGCAAAUAGAAAAAUAUGCUAAUCUAAAUUGAUAAGGAAAAACUUUUCACGN
rnacentral:lncRNA from 1 species